rnacentral:rRNA from 1 species
AUUGAACGCUGGCGGCAUGCCUUACACAUGCAAGUCGAACGGUAACGGGCCUUCGGGUGCCGACGAGUGGUGAACGGGUGAGUAAUACAUCGGAACGUGCCCGCUCGCGGGGGAUAACGAGGCGAAAGCUUUGCUCAUACCGCAUACGAUCUACGGUUGAAAGCCGCGGACCGCAAGGCCUUGCGCGGACGGAGCGGCCGAUGGCAGAUUAGGUAGUUGGUGGGUUAAAAGCUUACCAAGCCGACGAUUUGUAGCUGGUCUGAGAGGAUGAUCAGCCACACUGGGACUGAGACACGGCCCAGACUCCUACGGGAGGCAGCAGUAGGGAAUUUUGGACAAUGGGCGCAAGCCUGAUCCAGCCAUGCCGCGUGCAGGAUGAAGGCCUUCGGAUUGUAAACUGCUUUUGUACGGAACGAAAAGCCUUCUUAUAAUACAGGAGGGUCAUGACGGUACCGUAAGAAUAAGCACCGGCUAACUACGUG